UGGGGAAUUUUGGACAAUGGGGGAAACCCUGAUCCAGCCAUCCCGCGUGUGCGAUGAAGGCCUUCGGGUUGUAAAGCACUUUUGGCAGGAAAGAAACGUCGCGGGUUAAUACCCCGCGAAACUGACGGUACCUGCAGAAUAAGCACCGGCUAACUACGUGCCAGCAGCCGCGGUAAUACGUAGGGUGCAAGCGUUAAUCGGAAUUACUGGGCGUAAAGCGUGCGCAGGCGGUUCGGAAAGAAAGAUGUGAAAUCCCAGAGCUUAACUUUGGAACUGCAUUUUUAACUACCGGGCUAGAGUGUGUCAGAGGGAGGUGGAAUUCCGCGUGUAGCAGUGAAAUGCGUAGAUAUGCGGAGGAACACCGAUGGCGAAGGCAGCCUCCUGGGAUAACACUGACGCUCAUGCACGAAAGCGUGGGGAGCAAACAGGAUUAGAUACCCUGGUAGUCCACGCCCUAAACGAUGUCAACUAGCUGUUGGGGGCCUUCGGGCCUUGGUAGCGCAGCUAACGCGUGAAGUUGACCGCCUGGGGGAGUACGGUCGCAAGAUUAAAACUCAAAUGAAUUGAC
rnacentral:rRNA from 1 species